rnacentral:rRNA from 1 species
UACGAAGGGGGCUAGCGUUGUUCGGAUUUACUGGGCGUAAAGCGCACGUAGGCGGAUCUUUAAGUCAGAGGUGAAAUCCCGGAGCUCAACUUCGGAACUGCCUUUGAUACUGGGGAUCUCGAGUUCGGGAGAGGUGAGUGGAACUGCGAGUGUAGAGGUGAAAUUCGUAGAUAUUCGCAAGAACACCAGUGGCGAAGGCGGCUCACUGGCCCGAUACUGACGCUGAGGUGACGAAAGCGUGGGGAGCAAACAGGG